UACAGAGGGUGCGAGCGUUGUCCGGAAUUACUGGGCGUAAAGGGCGCGUAGGCGGCCCGAUAAGUAGGACGUGAAAUUCCGCGGCUCAACCGCGGAACUGCGUUCUAGACUGUCAGGCUUGAGCACGGUAGAGGCAGAUGGAAUUCCCGGUGUAGCGGUGGAAUGCGUAGAGAUCGGGAAGAACACCAGUGGCGAAGGCGGCGUUCUGGACUGCAACUGACACUGAGGAACGAAAGCCAGGGGAGCAAACGGG
rnacentral:rRNA from 1 species